rnacentral:rRNA from 1 species
CGUAGGGUGCAAGCGUUAAUCGGAAUUACCGGGCGUAAAGCGUGCGCAGGCGGUUUUGUAAGGCAGGCGUGAAAUCCCCGGGCUCAACCUGGGAAUUGCGCUUGUGACUGCAAAGCUGGAGUGCGGCAGAGGGGGAUGGAAUUCCGCGUGUAGCAGUGAAAUGCGUAGAUAUGCGGAGGAACACCGAUGGCGAAGGCAAUCCCCUGGGCCUGCACUGACGCUCAUGCACGAAAGCGUGGGGAGCAAACAGGAUUAGAUACCCUGGUAGUCCACGCCCUAAACGAUGUCAACUGGUUGUUGGGUCUCUUCUGACUCAGUAACGAAGCUAACGCGUGAAGUUGACCGCCUGGGGAGUACGGCCGCAAGGUUG